rnacentral:rRNA from 1 species
CCUACGGGUGGCAGCAGUGGGGAAUAUUGGACAAUGGGCGAAAGCCUGAUCCAGCCACGCCGCGUGUGUGAAGAAGGCCUUCGGGUUGUAAAGCACUUUCAGUGGGGAAGAAAGCCUUGGGGCUAAUACCCUCGAGGAAGGACAUCACCCACAGAAGAAGCACCGGCUAACUCCGUGCCAGCAGCCGCGGUAAUACGGAGGGUGCGAGCGUUAAUCGGAAUUACUGGGCGUAAAGCGCGCGUAGGCGGUCUGAUAAGCCGGUUGUGAAAGCCCCGGGCUCAACCUGGGAACGGCAUCCGGAACUGUCAGGCUAGAGUGCAGGAGAGGAAGGUAGAAUUCCCGGUGUAGCGGUGAAAUGCGUAGAGAUCGGGAGGAAUACCAGUGGCGAAGGCGGCCUUCUGGACUGACACUGACGCUGAGGUGCGAAAGCGUGGGUAGCAAACAGGAUUAGAUACCCGUGUAGUC